AGUUAGCUGCUAAUAUUUUUUUUAAAUUUGGCGAAGGCCGGAAUAAUCAUUGUUUGAAUGAUUUAUUCGUUGGCCUAAUUAUUUAUUUUGGGCCCUCGUUCGUGUUUGCAUCGAAAAUUGUUAACGAAAAUAUGAUGUUCAGCUGGCAAACUCUCCGGAACCGAAAUAUCAAAGAGUAAUUUUAAAAUAUCGAGAACGGAUCUGAGCUGACAAAAGAGAACCGGCAAGAUCCGGGAACAGUUGGUUUGGCAGUUUAUGAUGAUGCAGGUGAUUCGGAUCGGAAAGUAUAAUGGUUCCUGGACAAAAUCACAUUUGUAUCACAGAUGGUUCCAAUUUUGCCAAGUUCGUACUGGAGAGAGGCUGCGUAUACGUGCAUGGAAUUAUUCCACGCACCAUAAGAUUGGACAUCAUUCGGCUAUAUAACACCGGAAGAAUUCGUGUUACUAUCAUGCAGUGAUGGAUUUGGAGGUUUUCUGACGGUGGCGUAAACAGCUAGUUGAAAAAGCAUAGAUGUUUGACGGGGUGCACCAGUGCCGAGGAAGCUCUUCGUAAAAAAACGAGGUUAGAAAGCGCAGAUUUGUCCGGAAAAUUCUUGAAGUCAAUCCGCAUCGUCACCCAGUGCAAACUUUGACGGACCGGCAUCGACCAAUUCUGCCAAAAUAAGUAGCUUAUUGCAUCCAGUUUUCCCUUAUCAUAUUAAUUAGUUUAUUUUUCAGGAAAGACCAAACUAUUCGACGGUAUUAACGGAACUCUGGUGUCACUUGAACCCGAAAUCGUGUUGGGUUUCAGAAACUUUGGAAUCAAACUGGAAAAGAGGAGACGAUAUCUGUUGAGCCAUUGCCACGUAUUAAGUGUGCUGACAGAAAAAAAGUUGGCUAUCGAAAUAAAAUGAAGAAAAAAAAAGUUCCAGCACAAGGAUGACCGGUCUUAUAUUGAAUAGACAAUAAAGUAUUUAUUGCUACGCACGAGAAA